UCUAAUAAAAAAAUUAAGAGCCAUAUCUUUACUCUCAUCCGAUACUAAAAUUACUUAAUAGUAAGUUAGUGCAACUACUCUCACUGCCACGAGAGAAGAAAAUUGCUUCGACCGCUCUCCCAGUCCUAGAGAGAGAGAUAGCUGCUUCAAUAUCACUUACCAUAUAAGUUUUUUUCUUGACAAGAACUUGGAGGAAAGAGACGAGGGAGAAGGGAAAGUCAAGAGCAAAGCGUAAAUCAAGGUUGCUGCAACCGCAAGUGGUUGUCAACUUGAAAAUUCAGGUGCUUGUCUCGCCUGUUCAUAUGUGGGUUGGUGUUGGAUGCUCUUCUUCGGUUCCAUCACUACCUUAUGCUUUGGUGGGAACUGGGAGGAAUCAGUUGGAUUUGUGCUUUUGAAAUGAUUUAAAGUGAAAUCCUCUCAUCUGUAUUCAAUGUAAAUAUUUUUUGAUAAGUAUACUCUUGUGUAAAUAUUAUGCAACAUAUGUGUAAAUUCAUA